GGAUGCGAUCAUACCAGCACUAAAGCACCGGAUCCCAUCAGAACUCCGAAGUUAAGCGUGCUUGGGCACCUGGGAAGUCCUCGUGUUGCAUUCC
rnacentral:rRNA from 2 species